GUGGGAAAGGCGGCCAGAGAAAUCGGAUUAGGGAGAAGGGGGUUACGAGAGGGCGAAGUGGCUGGGAAAGGAGGUGGCAUGAGAUGCAGCAGCCCCUGGGGAAGGAGGCGAUGGGGAUGGCAGUGGAGGCGAACUGGAGCAGACAGCGCGAUGGAACAAAGCGGGAAGUCAAGGGUGCUAAGGAAAUGCAAACUUUUUCUUGUGGUCUUCGGUUAGGAGACAGCUAAUAAUACCACCCAACCACAAUCCAAACUCGGGUCACAGAGAAAGAAAAGUCCAAUUUGUACAUAGCCACGUACUUUACCGAUGUUUGUCUGGAAGCGGAGUAACCUACUGAAAAGAUAACGGCAACGCGGCUCUUUAUCUCAGUUUACCUAAACUACUAUUACCUGUCACAGACUCUUAACUGGAGCAUCAUUCCCCAGCUGCAAAAGGUCAUGCUGCUUUCUCCAGUUUCUUCAAGAUUGCUGCACAAGAGGAGCUCCCAGUGAAAUAGAAGCACUUAAUUUUGAAAACUCUCACAAACCUCCUUUAAUAGAGGUCUGGAAUAAUUAAAUGUAUUUUUGUUGUACUUUAAAUGUUAACUCUGUCAACAGUAUCAUGCCCCAAUCCUGCAAGAUUUAUGCACAUGCUUAAUUUUAAGUACAAGUAGUCCCCUCAAACUCAGUGUGACUGCUCAUAUGCUUAAUGUUAAGAAAGUGUGUAAGUUUUUGCAGAAUCAGGAACUUACUCAUAUUUUCUACCUUUAGCUUAUGGAACGUUUCCUUGAGUCAGAGUGUGGUGCUGCAGUAUGUCAGCAGAGUCAGUCUGAACUCAAUGGAGAAUUAAAAAAAAAAAUCUAAAAUAGCCUUUGUUGUAAUAGAAUGAGAAAGUCUUACCAAUAUCAAGUUUAGUGGGCAAAAGUUGGUAUUGAGUGCUAUCCAUUACAAGACAUAAGAAUUACAGGUAUGGAAACUAAAUUUCUUUUUUAC